CGGCGGGUAGGGCUGGGAGGUCAGCCGUCUCCCAAUAGGCUGAAACCGGCUACACGCAGUGGUCAGUAACCGUCGGGUUAAGCCACCUUCCCCGCAACCCGCGCAGGACGAUAAGAUGAAUUCACGCCGAGGUGGGCGGUCAUGAAGGGCGGUCUCCUCGAAGGAGGGGUUCUGACUCUUAACUGCCGAACUGGGCGAGGUCCGGGAGGGAGCAGCCCUAAGGUGGCUUGGCCACGCUGCCUCGUCUACGUGGAGGAUUUGUUGUCCUGUGAAAUGGGAACGGGAAAGGCUGGUGAACUCCGACGGAGCCGCCG
rnacentral:SRP_RNA from 1 species